AUGUUAUUUUCAUACAUAGCUACAGUUCAAUAUGAAAACCCAGGAAAUUGCCAUUGGUACAACUCACUCACCUUAUUCAGAUUUCACCAGCUUUUAUGUGCACUCAGGCAUGUAAACUUCUUUAUUCUGUUCCUUUACAUUUGCCCCACCACUGACCCCUGGCAACCACAAUCCAUCUCUACAAUCUUGUCAUUUCAAUUUGUUAUUUAAAUGCAGCCCAGUGUUUAUCUACUAACAUUUCUCUUUUUCCAAAGCAUAGUAUUCAUGUACUUGGGAAAUAUUUGGUCUGCCAAACAACAAUAAUAUCAACUAUAUACAGGCACUCAGCUAAGUCCUUUUUUCACUUAAUCUUCAAAAUAGCCUCUUGAGACUAUUUGUUAAUGCCUGGGAUUAGUUUUAGUAAAUCACAUCACCCUCAUGCUUAAAAAAACCUCUAAUGGGCUGGCCUCAGUGGCUCACCCUUGUAAUCUCAGCACUUUGGGAGGCUGAGGUGGGCAGAUCACCUGAGGUCAGGAGUCCAAGACCAGCCUGACCAACAUGGAGAAACCCCAUCUCUACUAAAAAUACAAAAUUAGCUGGGCGUAAUAGCAAAUGCCUGUAAUCCCAGCUUCUCAGGAGGCUGCGGUAGGCGAAUCGAUUGAACCCCGAGGGUGGAGAGUGCAGUGAGCUGAGAUCACACCAUUGCACUCCAGCCUGGGUGACAGAGUGAAACUCCGUUCCAAAAACAAAGCUCUAGUGGCUCCUCAUUUCAUUUAGAGGAACGAUGAACUCUCACUGUGGCUAUAGGACCCACUCCAUUAGCUAACCUUUUGUUUCAGGGCAUCUCUUACCAGCCCCACCCACCUUGCUCUACUCUAUUUGCAGUGGUAUCCAUCUGUCCUUGAACAUGUCUAGUCAAGCUGCUUCCUGCCUCAGGACCUCUGUAUCUGCUGUUCUUUCUUAAAAUUCUACAGUCAGAUCCAUCAAUAGCUGGUUCUUUGUCCUCAUUAAGUCUUAAUUCAACUUUUAUCUUCUCAGAGAGACUCUCCCUGUACACUUAAUGUAAAAAACCAAAAACCUCUCCAUACGGGGUUGCCAAAUUUGGCAAACAAAAACACAAGACACCCAGUUAAAUUUAAAUUUCAGAUAAAUAAUGCUAUUUUGGUAUAAGUAUGUCCCAUGCAAUAUUUGGGACAUACAUAUAUUAACAUUUAUCGUUUAUCUGAAAUUCAGUUUAAUUUGUAUCCUGCAUUUUGUUUGGAAGCUCUUCCUCUAAAGCCGCUCUGUUAUGUGGUACCCUGCUUAACUGUUUCUAUGUGACUUUUCAAUAUUAGAAAUUCUUUUGUCUAACAUCUCCUCCCAACCUUCACCCUCACAAUAAGCUCCAUGUGGGUGGGACCCCACUGCCUUGUUCACAGCUGCAUCCCCAGAGCCUACCAUAGUGCCUGGUACAUAGUAGGUGCUUAAUAAAUGUUAUAAAGGUAAGAAAAACAAAACGAAAAACAGGUUGGUAACACCUCCAAAGGGUACUGCUAGCCAGACAAGACUGAUCAGUGUGCUGCUGCAGCUUAGGGAACUCUCCCAUUUUCCACAUUUAGGAGGACGAAAGAGGCAUUGUGUUGCUGGCCUUUCAGAAGCCUCUUCUAGUAGAAUAAGAAGAUCCUAGCUGAGCAGCUUUGGGAGAAGCAAAGUCUGAAUGAGCCAAAAGCCUUUUCCAUUUGCCUUGCAAAAGCAAAUGAAGUCA
ensembl:lncRNA